rnacentral:rRNA from 1 species
GACGAACGCUGGCGGCGUGCUUAACACAUGCAAGUCGAACGGAAAGGCCCUGCUUUUGUGGGGUGCUCGAGUGGCGAACGGGUGAGUAACACGUGAGUAACCUGCCCUUGACUUUGGGAUAACUUCAGGAAACUGGGGCUAAUACCGGAUAGGAGCUCCUGCUGCAUGGUGGGGGUUGGAAAGUUUCGGCGGUUGGGGAUGGACUCGCGGCUUAUCAGCUUGUUGGUGGGGUAGUGGCUUACCAAGGCUUUGACGGGUAGCCGGCCUGAGAGGGUGACCGGCCACAUUGGGACUGAGAGACGGCCCAGAGUCCUACGGGAGGCAGCAGUGGGGAAUAUUGCACAAUGGGCGGAAGCCUGAUGAAGCAACGCCGCGUGCGGGAUGACGGCCUUCGGGUUGUAAACCGCUUUAGCCUGUGACGAAGCGUGAGUGACGGUAAUGGGUAAAGAAGCACCGGCUAACUACGUG